GGUCGUCAAGUCACGGUUCCUCGUGACUUGAUCUGGGGGACACACCUAAAAAGGGACCAUCGCGCAGCCUUCAUCUGCGUCCAUGGGCUGCACACUACGGUGGGCCCCCCCACGUGGCACAAAACGGAGAUCGAAGGUGUGGGUCCUCAGCACGCUAUUUUGUUUGCUGGUGUGUGCAGCACAAAGCGCCAGAUUUGUUGUUUUUUAUGGCGCACUUCAUGAGCAGCAGCGUUGCGAUUUCUUGGUGGAUUUGAGGGGGUUGCUUGCACGGCAGUAGGGCUAAGGUACAGAAAGAGAGCCCAAGGUUUCUGGACAUGUCCAACGGUAGGGUGGCCAAUGCUGCCCAUGUCUGGAGCCCAGCUCAGUGGUAUGACAAUGCCUCGCAUUUGGAAAAGGAGGGAGGCAAAGUGGAAUAAGAAGUAAAAGGAGGUAGAAUGGUGGGUUGGAGCACUCCCCCAUCUCCUUUUCAAAUGUCAGUGCAGGUGCUUACCAGCUGCUCAAAGUGUUGCCAUGCCAAGGAGUGGCAGCAGUGACUGCCACCUCCAGUAAUCUCCACCUCCUGAGACUACCACUUUACUACGCCUCAUGAGAAGGCCGCCUCCAAGAGUACACCAGACCUUGAUUUUUAUGGUGCUUUGAUUUGAUGGUGGAUUUUUUGUGUGGUGUGUGCAAACAUUCCUGAAAUCCAAGAGGAUCCAUAGUUUUUCCCUGACUAUAAAUGGUGUGUCUGUCAUGAGAACCAACCAACAGCUGGAUGUGAACCUUGUUCUAGAUGGGGUGGUGCUGCCCCCAAAGGAGCUUGUUUGUUAUUUGGGGGUCCUUUUGGACUCGCGCCUCCUGCUUGAACAGCAGGUGGAGGCUGCAGCCAGAAAUGCUUUUGCCCAGCUUCAUCUGGUUCGCCAAUUGCGCCUUUACCUUGAUCAGCAGGCAUUGAUGACAGUGGCCCAUGCCCUUGUUAUCUCCCACUUAGAUUAUUGUAACACUCUCUAUCUAGGGUUACCCUUGAGAACGAUCGGGAAGCUACAAUGGGUCCAGAAUGCAGCGGCUCACCUACUCAUGGAUGCCAGAAAAUAUGACAGGUUGUUGGAGGUAUCCGAAAACCCCUUCCAUUGGCCUGCCUGAGACCAAUUGUCAUCUGGCUUCUUCACUCUAAGAACUGGAUCCAUCUGUACCAUCAGAGAUGUAGUCACCCGAUCAAGACAUUGUGCUGUACAAGAUGUAGAGAUGUCUGUAGAGAUGUCUGUAUACUCAUACAUGUGUUUGUGUGAAUGACUGUACCUGCAUUCAUUUUAAAAGUGAAUCUUGCAGGCCCUUCAAAUGCACGUAGAGAUAGGAAGUAUACUUCUGUAACUUCAUUCAACAUAACAUGUGAAUGGCUGUACCUGUGUACAGAUCUGUAGCUGUGCACACUGUACACUCGUAUGAUUGUUGAACAUAAUGUGUAGAUGGGCCUAUUGUUGCAAAUUUUAAUGUAUUUAUUUCUUUUAAUGUA